AAUUUGUGAGCAUCUAUAAACACAGGCAUCCAGAAAAUUUGUGUUCUUCUCUUAACCUGUUUAUGGCAGUUGCUUAUUGUGUUUACAGCACUGCCUGCUGAUUUGGGACUGCUUCAUCCUAGUGCUUGCAGUCACUAGCACCCACUUGCAAAAGUGAGGUCUGCUGCUCUCCAUUUUAUUCUGACAGACACAGCGGUGCCACUCACCAAUGCAGAUCAGAGAACACAGAUGAAGCUGGUGCAGUGUGUAUUUAUAUGCUAUUAACUCGAGAAGAGGAAAGAAGCAGAACAGUUGGGAGCUUCAAGACCUAUUAGCUGCUGGGACAGCCACUGUCUUCCAAAAGACACCACAAUAUGCUGCUAUUUAGCGUACCCAAAUGUCCAAACUAUGAAAACAAUUUAUUAGAAACUUCAUUAAACUG